GCCUUUGUGAUCUAGUGGUUAGGAUUCCUGCUUUACACGCAGGCUGUCGCGAGUUCGAUCCUCGCCGAAGGUA